CCCCAGCCCCACCCAUGGAUAUCUCGCACAGGUUAAAGUAGUUAUAUUUUGACUUCAAUUUAAAGAUUCUACAAACUUAAGUUUGGAAUGUUACUCUGAAGAUUUACUGGCAAUACCAGCAAGUGGAGAUUGCAGACACUGUGUCGUCUCUCAAUCAUCAGUGAUCAUAAGCUGAACAGGUGACUAACUGCUCAAUCCUCUCCGUAAGCCGUCCGACCAUCAUUGCCGACCAUUAUUGCCCUACGAACCGCUGGAACACGCUGUCAGUCUCUGACGGUCUACCUAAUCGGUCAGACAGCCGGCCAUCUCGGCUGGGAGUCCGGCCCACAGGUCAUGGACCCCGUCUCCGCGCCAGUGGUGUACCGCUGUCGCGGCUGUCGGCAGUGCCUGUUCAGCUCGGAGCAGACGGGCGCGCUCCAGACGCCCUCGUGCUGCCGCGGCGCCCGGGAGCUGCGCGGUCUCUCAGAGGAACAGCUGCCUGGCUGGGCCCUCCAGCAGGUGGAGGAGGCCGGAUGGACGCGCGGCCGCCUCCUCUGCCCAGCGCCCGGCUGCGGCGCGAAACUGGGAACCUUUGACUUUAUCAGUGGUGCGAGUUGUGACUGCAAGAGCAUGGUGUUGCCGUCCGUCCGUUUGGUGAGGUCACGGUUGGACGAGCUGACCCCCGCCCCCAGCUCAGUGCGACCAGUCAUAGGCACAAGCGCCCCCGGAGACACUGGUUCGUAACGGGUGUCGUCCUUUCUAGCUGCUGUUUCAGCCGGGGAACUGUAACACAACAUGUGAUUCAGACUUCAGAGUGUUUCGCGACAACUGUUAUAUUAUUUGCUGUAUUGGCAUAAUAUUUACAUGAAAUACUCUGGCCUCUGGCUCCUACCGUCCUUCCGCAGCAGCCUUGUGCGACUCUGGCGUCGGACUCACUCUCACUGCAUUAUAUCGCUCUAGCUCUGAGAGAGGCGCCGCCGCGACCGUGCCGCGCGCUCUGCUCGCUCAAACAACAGCAGAAGCAGCGGCUGGCAGCGACUCGAGCCUACUGCGCAACAAACCAGGCCACACAACAGUCACUUGACAUGGGGCCGGCGGCUCGAGGACAGCCCCUCCAAUCCGGAAUAUCACCACGACUCGCCGCGCGUCGGCAUGGCACACCUUACCCGGCACCCAACAGACGGGGCCCGCGCACAAACACAGAAUGAGCAACACCAACGAGAGCACCAUAUUCCCGCUGUCCGCCCAUUUACCGCUUAGAGCUCUACAACAGCGCGACGUACACGACACUUGUGCUAACAAAAUGCUCAAAACCUACGGUCACAGUUGCAUAGCGUACGCUCUCACACAGAUCAUCGUUAGUAUCCAAAGAUCAGAUGCAAUGGGAUUCUGUAUAACAGAUGCAGCGGCCGCCAUUGGCUGCGGACGCCGCUGCUGGCGCCGUCAGUCGUCCAGCCACCAUGUGGCCGCCAGAAUCUGCACCGGGCCGGGAAUCGCGUCCCAGUGCGCCGGCCCGGCGCUGUGACCUCCGGCUAGAGCGGCACUCGCUGUAACCGUACACAGCGUGCCGUCCGGGCCGUGUGUGUGGGCGCCGGGCGCCGCUACGUCUGGGUCCGCCCGGCCGCUCGCCGCGGCGCUGGACCGACAUCCCGCCGUCACGCCCUUACGCGGGCUGUUCGUAGUUGGCCUACAGACCCCACACUCUACCAUGGCGUGGGUAGCAUGUUCAGCUCGGCAGCACCCUUACACGGGCUGUACGUAGUUGGCCGGGUAGAGGCCCACCUUGCCGUCCUUACGACCCUUGCACCAGCCCUGCUCGUCCUCGUCCUCCAGCUUCUCGAAGGCCUCGCCUGGGGAGGGCAGGUGCGACCGGGUCAGUUUACACAAGACUAGCAACAACAAGCUGAUAGGGUCACGCCCGUAAGCGAUAAAUAAUCUGCGAGCAGUUAUCCAAAUAUUAGAUCCAUGAAGCACAGCAACGAGUUAUGUGCAAUAUGCAUCAUUUGUCUGAAAACAAAAUAGUGAAAACAAGAACUACAUCCAGCAGAAUAUGCCGCGUGAUAUCGACUGCUGGCUAGGAAGAACAAAACGAUCGACAAAUGUUGAUUAAAAGCAAAACUAUUUCCCACACGAGUCUUCCGCAGAGGGCCCGGCCGGUCGCCGAACCCGCCACCUACCGGCCUUGAAGGAGAGCUCGUCUGCCUCCACGCCGUCGUAGUCGUAGAGCGCCCGCACCGGCACACCCGGCUCGCCGUUAUCCACCAGCUCCACGGUGUACUCGUCCCACUCCUCGUGGCCGCCGUCCUCGUACCCGUGGCCGUUACUGCGGGCAGGUCACCGACCGGUCACGGGUGUCCGGCGGGGAUCGAAAGUGGGCGAGCGACGGGCGUCAUCUAUAGGUAGUCACGUCAGAAUAUCAGACGCGAACAUCUUAACGUGAAGGCGGUGAAAGUUUCUUUCAUCAUUCGUUUAAUCAUAUUGACAACGGGGCACGAAAUAGCCAAAUAACUGUGUAGAAGUGCUUCAUGAUGUGUAAUACAAUAAUACAAUGCGG
rnacentral:misc_RNA from 1 species